rnacentral:rRNA from 1 species
CCUACGUGAGGCUGCAGUGGGGGAUAUUGCACAAUGGGGGGAACCCUGAUGCCGCGACGCCGCGUGGGUGAAGCAUCGCCUCGGCGCGUAAAGCCCUGUCAGCAGGGAAGAAAAUGACGGUACCUGACGAAGAAGCCCCGGCUAACUCCGUGCCAGCAGCCGCGGUAAUACGUAGGGGGCAAGCGUUAUCCGGAUUUACUUGGGUAAAGGGGGGCGCAGACGGCGAUGCAAGCCAGGAGUGAAAGCCCGGGGCCCAACCCCGGGACUGCUCUUGGAACUGCGUGGCUGGAGUGCAGGAGGGGCAGGAGGAAUUCCUGGUGGAGCGGUGAAAUGCGUAGAUAGCAGGAGGAACACCGGUGGCGAAGGCGGCCUGCUGGACUGCAACUGACGUUGAGGCCCGAAAGCGUGGGGAGCAAACAGGAUUAGAUACCCGAGUAGUC